AACGAACGCUGGCGGCAGGCUUAACACAUGCAAGUCGAACGCAUCCUUCGGGGUGAGUGGCAGACGGGUGAGUAACGCGUGGGAACGUGCCCUUCCGUUCGGGAUAACCCAGGGAAACUUGGGCUAAUACCGGAUACGUGCGAGAGCAGAAAGAUUUAUCGCUGAAGGAUCGGCCCGCGUCUGAUUAGCUAGUUGGUGGGGUAAUGGCCCACCAAGGCGACGAUCAGUAGCUGGUCUGAGAGGAUGAUCAGCCACAUUGGGACUGAGACACGGCCCAAACUCCUACGGGAGGCAGCAGUGGGGAAUAUUGGACAAUGGGCGCAAGCCUGAUCCAGCCAUGCCGCGUGAGUGAUGAAGGCCUUAGGGUUGUAAAGCUCUUUCGUCCGGGACGAUAAUGACGGUACCGGAAGAAGAAGCCCCGACUAACUUCGUGCCAGCCGCCGCCGUAAAAC
rnacentral:rRNA from 1 species